rnacentral:rRNA from 1 species
AAACAUUUUUUUAUGGAUGGCAUAUAAAGUAAGACCUGCCCACUGAAAGUAUAUUUGAAGGGCCGCGGUAUUAUGACCGUGCUAAGGUAGCAUAAUCAUUAGUCUUUUAAUUGAAGAAUGGAAUGAAUGGUUUAACUUACAAAAGUUUUUUUAAAAUAAAAAUUUGAAAUUUAAAUUUAAAUGAAAAUUUUUAAAAGUAUUUAAAAGACGAUAAGACCCUAUAGAGCUUUAUAUUUUUGUUUGAAAUUUAUUGGAAGCUUAAAAUUUUAAUAGUUGAUAUUUUAUUGGGGCAAUAAAAGAAUAAAUUUAACUUCUAUUUAAAAUCUUAAAUUUUAAAAAUUAAAAAGUUACCUUAGGGAUAACAGCGUUAUUAUUAUGGAGAGUUCAUAUCGAUAUAAUAGGUUGCGACCUCGAUGUUGAAUUAAAAAUAUACUUAAGGGCAGUAUUUUGAGUGUAAAGUCUGUUCGACUAGUAAAAUUUUACAUGAUC